GCCGGGCGUGGUGGCUCACGCCUGUAAUCCCAGCACUUUGGGAGGCCGAGGUGGGUGGAUCACCUGAGGUCAGGAGUUCAAGACCAGCCUGACCAACAUGUAGAAAACCCAUCUCUA
ensembl:misc_RNA Metazoa_SRP Metazoan signal recognition particle RNA